GGGCUGGUCUCCAUGGAAACCGUCGCCCUGUGCUGCCAUGGCAUUGCUGCUCCUGGGGUCUUCAUGGAAACUGGCCACGGCAAUGUGGGCAGGGGUUGCUAGGAAAUGGAGCUGGCUGCAGGCCCUAUCUGGCCCACAGACAGUGGGCUGGACAUUU